GACAGAGGAUGCAAGCGUUAUUCGGAAUGAUUGGGCGUAAAGCGUCUGUAGGUGGCCUCUUAAGUCUGCUGUCAAAUCCCAGGGCUUAACUCUGGAUAGGCGGUGGAGACUACCAGGCUAGAGUACGUUAGGGGCAGAGGGAAUUUCCGGUGGAGCGGUGAAAUGCGUAGAGAUCGGAAAGAACACCAAUGGCGAAGGCACUCUGCUGGGCCGUUACUGACACUGAGAGACGAGAGCUAGGGGAGCGAAUGGG
rnacentral:rRNA from 1 species